rfam:Ovis aries breed Texel chromosome 15, whole genome shotgun sequence.
UCCCAGGUGGCUCAGAUGGUAAAGAAUUUGCCUGUAAUGCAGGUGACCCAGGUUCAAUUCCUGGGUUGGGAA